UGUUGGCCGAUUCAUUUGGAUUGACAGGAAUGUCAUCAAGUGAACCAAGGUGUGCCGGGAACCAAUAAAUGUAACGUGUAACA
rnacentral:lncRNA from 1 species